rnacentral:rRNA from 1 species
UACGGAGGGUGCAAACGUUGCUCGGAAUCAUUGGGCGUAAAGCGCACGUAGGCGGUCGGCUAUGUCGGAUGUGAAAGCCUCGGGCUUAACCCGAGAAGGGCAUCCGAAACUGGCCGGCUUGAGUACGGAAGAGGGUCUCGGAAUUCCCGGUGUAGAGGUGAAAUGCGUAGAGAUCGGGAAGAACAUCGGUGGCGAAAGCGCUCUACUGGACGGUAUCUGACACUGAGGGACGAAAGCUAGGGGAGCGAAUGGG